rnacentral:lncRNA from 1 species
GAGAAUAGAACACAUUGAGAACUUCAGAAAAGAUGACCAUACAUUAGGGAGAGAAUGUAGAUAAUUUUCGCAGACUGUAGUCACCCCCUUACAGACCAAGACAGUAAAAAACCAAAAAUUUUCAAUGCUAAAUAGGAUGAAAAACAAGCGGAUUACAUUGGCAAAAAUAGCAGACAUAAACUGAGGACACGACUAGGAGGGACUCAAAAAGGUCCUCAUUAAAGACUUUUGAGAAAGGAUCAUCCUUUGACUAUGUUCGGAUAAGUCAAUCGACCUCCGACUCAAGUCAACCAACCUUCGACAUCCGACUCAAUAAAGAUCGACCGAUCGAACAUACAACUCCGACUAUAUAUCGACUGACACUGACUCA